ACUCAAAUGAAUUGACGGGGGCCCGCACAAGCAGCGGAGCGUGUGGUUUAAUUCGAGGCUACGCGAAGAACCUUACCUGGGUUUGACAUGCAAGUGGUAGGGAAGCGAAAGCGGACCGACCUUCGGGAGCUUGCACAGGUGCUGCAUGGCUGUCGUCAGCUCGUGUCGUGAGAUGUUCGGUUAAGUCCGAAAACGAGCGCAACCCCCGGGUCUAGUUACACGUGUCUAGACCGACUGCCGGCGACAAGCCGGAGGAAGGUGGGGAUGACGUCAAGUCAGCAUGGCCUUUAUGCCCAGGGCGACACACACGCUACAAUGGCUGGUACAAUGGGUCGCGAAGCCGCGAGGCGGAGCCAAUCUAAGAAAGCCAGUCGUAGUUCGGAUUGCAGGCUGCAACCCGCCUGCAUGAAGUCGGAGUUGCUAGUAAACGCCGGUCAGCCACACGGCGUUGAAUACGUUCCCGGGCCUUGUACACACCGCCCGU
rnacentral:rRNA from 1 species